rnacentral:rRNA from 1 species
UACGUAGGGUGCAAGCGUUAAUCGGAAUUACUGGGCGUAAAGCGUGCGCAGGCGGUUUUGUAAGUCUGUCGUGAAAGCCCCGGGCUCAACCUGGGAAUUGCGAUGGAGACUGCAAGGCUUUGAAAUCUGGCAGAGGGGGGUAGAAAUUCCACGUGGUAGCAGGUGAAAUGCGUAGAGAAUGUGGAGGAACACCGAUGGCGAAGGCAGCCCC